CCUACGGGAGGCAGCAGUGGGGAAUAUUGCACAAUGGGGGAAACCCUGAUGCAGCGACGCCGCGUGAGUGAAGAAGUAAUUCGUUAUGUAAAGCUCUAUCAGCAGGGAAGAAAAUGACGGUACCUGAGUAAGAAGCCCCGGCUAACUACGUGCCAGCAGCCGCGGUAAUACGUAGGGGGCAAGCGUUAUCCGGAUUUACUGGGUGUAAAGGGAGCGUAGACGGCAGUGAAAGUCUGGAGUGAAAGGCGGGGGCUCAACCACCGGACUGCUCUGGAAACUGUACGGCUUGAGUGCAGGAGAGGUAAGUGGAAUUCCGAGUGUAGCGGUGAAAUGCGUAGAUAUUAGGAGGAACACCAGUGGCGAAGGCGGCUUACUGGACUGUAACUGACGUUGAGGCUCGAAAGCGUGGGGAGCAAACAGGAUUAGAUACCCGAGUAGUC
rnacentral:rRNA from 1 species